GACGAACGCUGGCGGCGUGCCUAACACAUGCAAGUCGUGCGAGAAAGUUCCUUCGGGAGCGAGUAAAGCGGCGCACGGGUGAGUAACACGUAGGUAACCUGCCCCCCAGUCUGGAACAACUAGAGGAAACUCUAGCUAAUGCCGGAUGAGACCACGAUCCCUUCGGGGGUUGCGGCCAAAGAUGGCCUCUACUUGUAAGCUAUCGCUGAGGGAUGGGCCUGCGGCCAUUAGCUUGUUGGUGAGGUAACGGCUCACCAAGGCUGUGAUGGCUAGCUGGUCUGAGAGGAUGACCAGCCACACUGGGACUGAGACACGGCCCAGACUCCUACGGGAGGCAGCAGUGGGGAAUAUUGCGCAAUGGGCGAAAGCCUGACGCAGCGACGCCGCGUGGGUGAUGAAGGCCUC
rnacentral:rRNA from 1 species